AAACCAAAUGAUGAAUUUGGAUUUAUAUUAUCUCACGACGGUCGUCUGAGGUUUCACUUUGAUUUAUAUAAUCCAAUGGUUCUGAUGGUU